GACCAGAUACUCUUAAGGGACCAAUUUAAGGGCAAACAGACAAACGUUUUGAUGCAAAGAAAGCAUUGGAUUUGAAAGUUCCCAUGGAAAAGAAAAAUGGAGAGAUUCUAAAAGUAUGAAGAUACUCCUGUGUAUAAUGAGGAAAUCUUGUCAGUGAAUGUUUUUGCAAUUGUGGACCAGGCCAGAGUUGUACUAAACCAACUAAGACACAAUGAGAUACAGGAACGACACAAUGAGAAACAGGAAACAGGAAAGUGAUGACUGAUCGCCACCUGUUACAAAUUCAUCUAGGUACAGUUUUUAUUCCAGAUUUGAUACAACUGUAAACUGUUUUAUGCAUGCUAUGAUUAUGUUCAUCAUGUUUGUUUAAGACCGUGAUGAUGAGGACUAAUCUAUUGAUUAUCCCUUGCCAAAAGGCAAAGUGGAUACAGUAAUUGUGUAAUUGUGCACGUGUGUGUGCGUGUGCACGGAAUGUAAUCUUGAGCAUAAAUCCCCCAGGUAUUAACUUCAAACUUCAUAUACAGAUAGAUCCCUA